GCGGUGAUGCCGAUGGUGCGAG
rnacentral:miRNA from 1 species